GGGUCCCGCACAAGCGGUGGUACAUGUGGUUUAAUUCGAUGAUACGCGAGGAACCUUACCUGGGCUUAAAUGCAGAACGACGUACCGGGAAACUGGUACUCCCUUCGGGGCGGACUGCAAGGUGCUGCAUGGUUGUCGUCAGCUCGUGCCGUGAGGUGUCGGGUUAAGUCCCAUAACGAGCGCAACCCUCAUUGUUAGUUGCCAGCGAGUAAUGUCGGGGACUCUAACGAAACUGCCGGUGUAAACCGUGAGGAAGGUGGGGAUGACGUCAAAUCAGCACGGCCCUUAUGUCCAGGGCUACACACGUGUUACAAUGGCCAGUACAAAGGGCAGCUACCACGCGAGUGGAUGCUAAUCUCUAAAGCUGGUCUCAGUUCGGAUUGAAGUCCGCAACUCGACUUCAUGAAGCUGGAAUCGCUAGUAAUCGCGCAUCAGCCAUGGCGCGGUGAAUACGUUCCCGGUCAUUGUACACACCGCCCUGUCAAGCCAUGGAAGCUUGGGGUACUCUGAAGUCCGUAACC
rnacentral:rRNA from 1 species